rnacentral:lncRNA from 1 species
AAAAUAGAACAAAGAAGUGGAGCGAGAGGAGAGAAAUUUCAGAAAUUCAAAAAUUUGAGGUAAAGAACAUCUUAUCCCACCCACUCACUUUCUCGCCUACUUCCCUAGCGCGCAAAAAUUCGUAAAAUACGUUCCAAGCAAGAAUUACUCCUUACUAUAGAAGAACAUGCAGACAAAUAGUAUUGUUUUCUACUUGUUAUAAUGUG